rnacentral:rRNA from 1 species
GUCCACACAGUAAACGAUGAAUACUCGCUGUUUGCGAUAUACAGUAAGCGGCCAAGCGAAAGCAUUAAGUAUUCCACCUGGGGAGUACGCCGGCAACGGUGAAACUCAAAGGAAUUGACGGGGGCCCGCACAAGCGGAGGAACAUGUGGUUUAAUUCGAUGAUACGCGAGGAACCUUACCCGGGCUUAAAUUGCAUUUGAAUAUAUUGGAAACAGUAUAGCCGUAAGGCAAAUGUGAAGGUGCUGCAUGGUUGUCGU